GCGCCCGUGGCGGAAUUGGCAGACGCGCUAGAUUUAGGUUCUAGUGUCCUCAGGGCGUGUGAGUUCAAGUCUCACCGGGCGCACCA
rnacentral:tRNA from 3 species